rnacentral:tRNA from 1 species
GAGGGGUUCGAGUAGUGGUAACUCGCCAAUAGGCUCCGUUGGCAAUGGAGCGUUAUAUCUUGGUGCCAGAGGUUCGAUUCCUCUACCCGUCA